UAGGUGAGAUGGGUUAAUGACAGAUGGAUCUCCCUAGAAUGUGAAGAAAACCAAAACAAAUAAUUACACCGAUGACCACGGCAAACCUGCACAGCUGUGAAAGCAGAUGCUGAGUCUGACAAAACUGAAGUUUGCAGAUGUCAAGUCUUGCACUGCGUUUGAUCCUGAUCCACAUUUCCCUCCUAUCUGUCCACUCUUUCUAUUGCCUUCAUUGCUAUUUCUGUGUCCAAACUUAGAUGACGUUUCUUCAGGAUAUGGACUACAGCCUACCUGUAUCUUACUAAGUCUGCAAAUUGCACUGGCAAAUUGAGGCACUUCAUUUGGGCCAAAUUCACCCCAGACAUUCCAUAGGACUAAUAGGAGAUGAGUGUAAGGUCUGAGCUGCCUAUUCCUUUCUCUUAAUAGUUAAGAAACAUAAGCUCUUAACAAAGGCAUUUCAAUUAAGUACCUAAAGUUAGGUGGGCUGAAUCAGGCCUACGCCUUUUAUACACUUGAUGUAAUGUUGUAAUAGUGGAGGAUUAAGAGAGUUAUUUAUGGAGGGAAUUUCUACACUUACACUCUGAUUAGAAUGCAGGAGACUGAUACUUUCUGUUACUUCAUGUGCGAAGUCACAUCUCUCUGAAAUCCUCCAAAAGGUAAGAUGAGGAAUAUAUCCAAAAUGACAGUUUUCAUUUUGUAGUUAGAGGCAUGUGCUAUGAGGGGCACUUCUUUCUCACUUUGAGGUUUUGCAGGAAUUAGUUUACUUAACAUUAGGCCAGAUUAAAAAAAAAAAAAGCUGCUGCUUAUAUUCCUUAUCUAGUCUAUAGAAGCUUCCAAAUUCUGCAAGCUCUCUGCUGCUGCUUUCUUCUUAGCAGUGCCACCAGAGUGCCACCCUAAGGCGCUUGCUUCAGAGAGUUAGGGAUAGAAAUUUACACCCCAGCUUUUGAAAGUGUGUAUUUUUGUUAAUGUAGUGCAUCACAGUUUUGGUGUACAUGUGCAAAUGUAGUUUGCAUGUAUGUUACUAUAUCUGCACAUACAGCAUGCAUCUGUACUACCUGCUAGAAGGGGACUGAUUCUUAUGGCUUUUGGAAGAGCUACUAGUUCCUUACCUGGGAGUUGCACUGACUUUUUGAUUCUGUGUCCAUGGCAAAGAGUUUUUCAAUCACCUCAAUCUUAAGAUCUUCAUCCACAGAACUGUAAUAAUCUCCUGGGCUGCUUGGCUGCACAGAAAUAAGAAUUUGCUAUAGGCACCAAGACAACCACGGUAUUGGCUAGCAUCAUGCAGUUUAUACUAUGCUAUUCAGUAGCAGAUCUCUCCUGUGAUACCAGACUAUAUAUAGUGUCGUCAGAACCCAAAACUGUCCACUUCUAUCAUAUGCUUUUCUCCAACACUUGAUGACUUGUCACAACAAAAUUUGAGAGCUAUACUGAUUAACAAGGGCACCCAAUACAGGAACCUAAUUGUCAUCUUAGUUUGUAUGGGGUUUUUGGCAACUCAGGCCAGCAACAUGAGAUGUACACUAUUAAAUACUUGUGUGAAGAAGGGAGACAGUUAACACUACACCUCAAUGUCUUGAUUAAAAUUGGACCAUCCUCUAAUAAAGGCCGGCUAAGAGUGGCUCUAGCUCUUGGGGACAGUGCCCUGAAAGCACAUUCAUUCUUUCAGUGAGGAACGCCAUGGAACUGCUCUUAAAAGCUUGAGUUGGGUAAAGUUUCUGGACUUAAGACUAUAGAUUCUAGUUAAGAAACAGAGAGGCCAUAUGGGUCUGGGUCGAUGGUGCUAGUGACCACACACCAUUUUACACUGUUUUGUUUUAUUUAAGGCUAACUCCAUGAAAGGUAGUAGCAUGUUCUUCUACUAGUUGUUUUAUAGGUCAUAUUAAUUACUGAGGGACAGCUGGGAGAAAAUGAAGAUUGAAACGUAAAGGCAGGAUAUAGUUCUCAUCUGUUUCUGCUGUUGAUGCUUAAGAUAUAUGCAGUACAGGAGGGAUACAGAUCCACUGGGCCUCGUUAAUAAGCAAUGAGACAGGACUGCUAACAUGAAAAUAUCAUCUACGUAUAUUGAUGUGACUUACAUACAAAAUAUUACAUGCAGUUUUUUAAAGCUCUUCUUACCGUGGAACAGCUACUGUUGCUGCUUGCACUUGGAGUACUGUUGCCAGGUGCAAUCUGAGGCAUUGUAAAGGAUGGUAUCGUCAGUGUUUCACCUUGAGCAGUGUGGCUUUUCACUUCCACUGGCCAUGCCUUAUUAGGUGUCAAAACAGCACUGGUGAAGGCAGGGGCUUCCUCAAACUUCUGUGUCCCUGCAUGGAGUUUUAACAAUAUUAAUGGAUGCUUUUAGGUUGUGCUGAGUUAUAAUUGCAGCUAUUCCCUGAAAGUAAACACUGCUCCUAGUUGCUAUGACAAUAAGUUGGCAUAGACUUAAUGCAUGUUGUUUAGUCAGCAAGAAAGCCCGAUUCUGCUCUCAUUCACAGAAAUUUUCCACUGGCGUGAGCACGUGAGCUCUUAUAGCCAUUACUCCUGAUUUGUACACACAGCAAACAGACCUUGUCUGUUAAGUUUCUAAAUAUAGGCUCAUAUGUGGUUCUUUGCUGCACAAAAAUUAUUUAUACAAGUACUAACCAAAAUCCAGGGAAAUAAUGGCAUCGCCAGGUGUUGGUGCCAGCUGAGCAAGUUCCUCUGGUUCCUCCUUUAACUUAGUAAACAAGAAGUCGCUCUUCUCUGUGCCAGGGAUGCCGCUCUCAUAGGUGGUGCCCAUUGUCAGCAGGUGAGGCUUGAAGAGUGAUUCUGUUUGGUCCAUGGAGAACACAACGUCGUUCUUCUCAAUUUCACUAACAAGAAAAUAGGUUUUAGGUAUUUUGCACUCAAAAAAGAAAAAAGUAGGCAGUACAAACUGUCUAAAGCUGGGGCCCAUACAAGCGUUUUGGCCUCUCUCAGUCGCACGCCAGGUUCUCGACAGGCGAGGCACAGUUCCAGCGUUGCUGAGCACCACCAUCUCAGAUGACGCAGAGAGUGUGUUCAGGACUUCUGUGGAAUACUCAGGGCUUUGUUGCUCUGCUUUUUAAAGGGAUGUAAUCGAGGCUGUAAUGACCCAGACUAUCACUCAAACAAGUAUUUCCUAUUUUGGCCCCAUCUAGGACCAAAAAUACUUGAGUUUUGCCAGACGGAGGCAAAACUCCUGAUUGGUCCUGAUUUUUGAGGCAGAAACCAGCUUCUCCUAGCAACAGAAGAUACAAUUACUACUUAAUUUUAUCUCUGUGUCACAGCAUUAGACAAACAAAACAUAUUAGCAGUUGUGUUACACAAUAAAACCUUCAGUGCAGGCUUUAUACGCUGUUGUAUCAGCAGAGCAGCCACUAUGCAGAAGAGAGAGGCUGUGGUGUAUUUCAACAGCAUGUAUGGGAAUGGGCAUGCCACAUUUUUCAUCGAUGGCUAACAAACAUGACUAAACGGAUUUCAGAAUAACAACACCGAAUAAAUAGACCCUUCAUAAGUUCCUCUGAUUAUUGCAUUUCUUCCAGCACAUGCAUCCAUACAUGGUUUUCCUGUGCCAUACAACUUACCUCAGCACAUAGUUGACACAGACGAUACACUGAGGCUGUAGGUUGCGCGUAUUGUAAAUCACCGUUCCUUGAGUCUCCAGCCAUACGUAUCCGCCAUGCUUGGCAAGCAUACGGUACUGGCCCGUCACUACUUGACCUUUUGUACACACUGAGAAAAGGGGGCAGAGAGAAAUAAAUAAUGCAGCGGGACAGGAACGCACGAUAUGUAACACUUGUUUUAAAUAAACCCGAUUCUGAGUUUUUAUUCCGCAAAACUACACUAAGACAUUUGUUAGCAAGGAUGCUUAACUUUAGGAAAAUUUAGCCAUUUUAAAUAUAAAAUGGGCUGCUAAUUUGCGGUCUCAAGAUGCCUGGCAUUUGAGUUCUUUAGAUGGUCUGAGUACUCAGAUCAGAGUGUGGGUUGUUUAGUUGUGGGGGUUUUUUGGGGUUGGUGUUUUUUUUUGGUUUUUUGGCUUUUUUUUGCAUGUAAUGUAAGAUCCUAAGUGCCCCCAAAACAAUGCUCGCUGACCCAUGUGACAAAUCAAAUGUUUACUUAAGUCAAAAUGUAUUUUUGAACUAGCCUGUGUUUCUCAACCAAGGAACUGACAAUAGUACAGCUCGGGUUUAAAGCUUCAUCUAGAUGUCUAAAGGGUUAAAUCCCCCCCGUCAAUAUUUUGUAAUAUUUGAAGAGAAUGAGUUUUCAAUAUGGAGCUUUGGACUUGAGAUGUAAAGUUUUAUGAUUAUGUUUUUUGCCUGAGGACAGUAUGCCAUGAAACUAAUGCCCUAAAAAUAACGCGGUUUGACUUAGUAAGGCUGGAAAUUUGAUUCUGCAUUCUUUGUACAGAAAAAUUCCUUGUGAAUGUGGCCAUUAACAGAAGCUAUUUAUUGUCAGUCUCCCCUACUUAGCCACCAUACAAAUGUACAAAUCCGGGCCUGUGAAAUGCAACAACUGUUUUGCAGAUAAUUGUUGCUGUGUUUAUCCCUCUAUCUCUGAAGUUUGUUUGUUUUCUUGCUAGGAGUAUUUAAUCAUCCUUCAUUUAAUUUAUUUAGACAAAGUAGAACAUUACUUUUAUUGAUUAAAUACUUCUGGUGGAACAAAAUCAAAAGGCUUUCAUUUCAAAGUGUUUUAGUGACUGGACUGUUCUGCUUUGCUUGUGAAACAUAAUUACACUGCUUCCUAAUCAUCAGCUCAUCAAUAAGAGUCACAGUGUAGGCGCCUGUUACAUUACAAAGAAGCUUUUUACUGCUUUAAUCUUUUUUAUUAUUAUUAUUCAAAGCAUGUCACGUUCUGAUAUAAUAAAGUACAGCAGAAUCCCUCCAUGGGGAAAUCUCAUAAGUUACUAAUACACGCAUAACUACUGACUUUGCCAUCAGUGCUACAUUUAAGGUUCUACCUUCAGAGUGAAUUUUUUUUUUCGUAAGUAUACAUUACCUGUAUCUUUACCGAACUAGUAAUAUCUCAAUGAAAUAGGCUCCGAUUAUAUUCCUUAACUUUGGGUGGAGGAAGGGGGAAGGCACGGUUGAAUUUAAUUGAACACAAAAUUUGUUUUUUAAUUGCUGAGACACACUUGAGAAAUAUGAUUCACUUGGAAGGCUUGUCAAACUUCUGCUACAUACUACCAAGUGGCGGGUCCCAGAUGGUGACAUUCAGCGCCCCACUGAAGGCAAUAGCAAAAUUCCCAUUGGCUUUAAUGGCAACAAGACCAGAGUCUAAAUGGAAGCGAUUAUAGAUUAUUAAUUGCUGAAUUGGAAAAUAGAGCUCUAUGGUCAAUCUUUUGUGUAGAUUUAUGUAACAAGACAGAGAUUUUAAUCUUGUUCGCAUAAAGUGUGAAAAACUGGGUAUGCUAAAUAUUGCCAAAUGCAUUCUAGUCUUCCAUUUGAUGGUGACUAAUUAAGACUUUCGUACUCUAUAUGCACUAUACUUCCAGCCAAGAACACAAACACUAUUGUGGCUUGCUUGAAUGUGAGGUUAUUUCACCUCAAGAAAAAAAGAAAAAAAACCAACCCUGCAGUACAGUAAAACUGCAAUAAGCCUGAUUUAUCAUUAAAUUAGAAGGAAAGAAAGGGAAGGAGUUCUGCUUCUAUGCAAGAGACUAAUUUGAGGUUUUUCUCCCUCUCUCUCUUCAAACUUCAUACUCUUUCCUCUAUUUCCUAUGCAUCUUUACAACACUAAAUGGUUGGCACUGUCAAAAUUGAUGACUGUAUUACUGCAUGAAUAUAUACUCUAUACAUAGCACAUUUCUAAUAAAAACUACUGUUUAAUCAAUACAA